rnacentral:rRNA from 1 species
CAGCCGCCGCGGUAAUACGUAGGUCCCGAGCGUUGUCCGGGUUUAUUGGGCGUAAAGCGAGCGCAGGCGGUUAGAUAAGUCUGAAGUUAAAGGCUGUGGCUUAACCAUAGUAUGCUUUGGAAACUGUUUAACUUGAGUGCAGAAGGGGAGAGUGGAAUUCCAUGUGUAGCGGUGAAAUGCGUAGAUAUAUGGAGGAACACCGGUGGCGAAAGCGGCUCUCUGGUCUGUAACUGACGCUGAGGCUCGAAAGCGUGGGGAGCAAACAGGAUUAGAUACCCCAGUAGUCCCUGUCUCUUAUAAC